CACGCAGGUCCAGAUCUCUCUCUCUCACUGCACGAUCUCUCCCUUCUCUUCUUCUUUUCUUCCUCCCUCUCUCGGCUCUGUCACGUGCAGCACCCUACUCCUCUCCUUCCUUUUCUUUUCCUCCUCCCUUCUCUUUUCUUCUUCUCCAGCAACGCAGCCCCCCCCCCGUUCCACGAGCAGCCCGACCCCCUCCACUGCAUUUCUCCUUCUCUUCUUCCGGUUUCACAGCACGAUCUCCCUCUCCCCUCUUCCAUCGUCUUCUCCUCUUCCUCUCCUCCCAAACGCACACCCCAGUCCAUGAGUGAACCCAUGACAUAGUGAGAUCGUGAGGGAGAGAUCAACUGAGAGCCGAGUUGAGAGAGGACCCGUGUGUGGAGGGUGAUCCUUGGCCGGUGGUGGGGCGAUUUUUGGAGCUAUGGUGGCUGGACCACCGUCGGGUCAUGGAGGCAGCAACUAGGGCGUGGGUUUCGGCCCUGUUCAGGAUCGUGUCAUUAAUGGAGACUUCAACGGAUCCUUCAAUGUAAAGUUGGAGUCGUGAGUCCAAUGCAGCCAAGUACUCGAGUCGUAGUUGAUGGGGUCGUAGACGUGCAUUUGGGAUAUUAUGACCGGAGCUCGCUGCGAUGGUCGUAAUUUCAGGACCAUGGGCGUCCUCAGUUUUAUAGGUUUUGUUAUGGCUUGUGAUGCAUGUGUCACUCGUUAUUGUAUAAAGCCAUUUCUGUUAUGUAUUUAUAUUGAGGAAAGAUUUAAACACAUAGAUGUUAAAUGGCUCUUGUUGUUAUUAAUUUAUGAUAGAUGUUUAAGAUGUGAUUUCCACUA